rnacentral:rRNA from 1 species
UACAGAGGGGGCAAGCGUUGUUCGGAAUUACUGGGCGUAAAGGGCGCGUAGGCGGCCUUCUAAGUCGAACGUGAAAUCCCCGGGCUCAACCCGGGAACUGCGUCCGAUACUGGGAGGCUUGAAUCCGGGAGAGGGAUGUGGAAUUCCAGGUGUAGCGGUGAAAUGCGUAGAUAUCUGGAGGAAUACCGGUGGCGAAGGCGGCAUCCUGGACCGAGAUUGACACCAAAGCGCGAAAGCCAGGGGAGCAAACGGG